GCCUUAGUAGUAUAAAAAUUACAUUGGUCUUGUAAGCCAAAAAUGGAGAGCCCCACUCCCUAAGACA
rnacentral:tRNA from 1 species